rnacentral:rRNA from 1 species
GAUGAACGCUGGCGGCGUGCCUAAUACAUGCAAGUCGAGCGAACAGAUGAGGAGCUUGCUCCUCUGACGUUAGCGGCGGACGGGUGAGUAACACGUGGAUAACCUACCUAUAAGACUGGGAUAACUUCGGGAAGCCGGAGCUAAUACCGGAUAAUAUAUUGAACCGCAUGGUUCAAUAGUGAAAGACGGCUUUGCUGUCACUUAUAGAUGGAUCCGCGCCGCAUUAGCUAGUUGGUAAGGUAACGGCCUACCAAGGCAACGAUGCGUAGCCGACCUGAGAGGGUGAUCGGCCACACGGGAACUGAGCCAGGGUCCAGACGACUACGGGAGGCAGCAGAAGGGAACCGUACGCAGUGGGCGAAAGCUUGACGGAGCAACGCCGCGUGAGUGAUGACAGUCUUCGGAUCGUAAAAAUGUGUUAUUAGGGAAAAACAAAUGUGUAAGUAAAUAUGCACGUCGUGACGGUACCUAAUCAGAAAGCCACGGCUAACUACGUG